CUACGGGAUGCACCAGUGGGGAAUCUUGGACAAUGGGCGCAAGCCUGAUCCAGCCAUGCCGCGUGAGUGAAGAAGGCCUUAGGGUCGUAAAGCUCUUUCGCCAGAGAUGAUAAUGACAGUAUCUGGUAAAGAAACCCCGGCUAACUCCGUGCCAGCAGCCGCGGUAAUAAGGAGGGGGUUAGCGUUGUUCGGAAUUACUGGGCGUAAAGCGCGCGUAGGCGGAUUAGUCAGUCAGAGGUGAAAUCCCAGGGCUCAACCCUGGAACUGCCUUUGAUACUGCUAGUCUUGAGUUCGAGAGAGGUGAGUGGAAUUCCGAGUGUAGAGGUGAAAUUCGUAGAUAUUCGGAGGAACACCAGUGGCGAAGGCGGCUCACUGGCGCGAUACUGACGCUGAGGUGCGAAAGUGUGGGGAGCAAACAGGAUUAGAUACCCGAGUGGUC
rnacentral:rRNA from 1 species